GCCCCACCCAUAUGAUCUGCCAUAUGAACUAACGUCAGUGCUGCACACAGUGUGUGUUUACAUUAAAAAGCCUGCAGGGACCAGCUAUAGACACCAGAACCACUUCAUUAAACUAUAGUGUCCCUUUAAUGUGAGGUACAUUAUAGAUUAGUGUCACUAAUAAUAUACUAGAUUGCCUACUUACAAGCAGAUGAGGAUGAUGAUGGGCUGCAGUUUGGCUCCACUGGUCUG